CAUUUCAGGGAGAUAUGCCGAAUUGUUUUCUCGUAUUCGUUCUUCUUACUGUUUUGCCACAAUCGAGGAUGCGCGCUGGUACAUUGCCGCGUGGAGGAUGUAAAAAUAUUCUCCCCCGAUUAAAACGUUAAUUUGACCAAGAAAGGCCUUUUACGAAUGCAAAACUCGUAAUGGAAGAACGCAACAAGAAAUCGUUUCUUGUUGAGUGCUUGAAUGUUUCGGAAUAAAAUAUACGAUCUCCAACUGCGAUUGUUAGUCUUUGAUAAAAGUUCAGUGUAAAUUGUGCGUAUGUACGCUUGUAAUUUCUACAUACGCGCUACAUACUACCAUUAAAUCAAAUUCUUACCAAGAAUAACUACGUGUGUUUUUCGCAACCAAUCCGAACAAGAACACUUGUGAGAGCAUGUAUAAAAUAAAUAAGAAAUGGGCAGUAAAUAUUUUUAUCAAGUACGAACCGUUGGUGAUCUCCAACGGUAUCAAUGUCUUCGUUGCGUCGGACUGUACGACGUUUUAUGCAGUGAGAGCCAGAGCAGAACCGUGAGAGAGCGGCGGAGGGCGGAGGAACAAAAGCCCUCUCUUCUCUCAUCGCUCGUCGUCGCUGUAUAGCGUACCUACUCUGCAUUGUGUUCCUUUUUACCUGCGUUGCGCUUCGUGAAAUCGCGAAACCUCGCAUUGUUGAUGCUAGAUCGUCACACUCGUGAAAACCGGGGUGGCUUGUGCAAUACGUUGCGUACGUCGCAAUACGUGAUCAUACACGUAUUCUAUAUGAGCGAUAGAAAAGUCAGUGUAAAAAUGCCAUAAAAUUUGUCCAGUUUCUUCGUUCUUUUUCGAAAUAAUGUCUUAUACGCAUCAGAGAAAAAUAUAUAAAACAAUGUUUCAAAAAAGAGAGAAAUACGUUGACGAUUACAAUUUUACUAUAAUGAGAAAAAAAUAGAAACUACGAAUAUUUUAUUUUUUCUAUUUCGUGGUUCUCAGAGGGUAAUUUAAAAUAAGAAACUUUGCGAUAAAUAUCACUUGCUAUCUUUACCAAUGCCUCUAUAAACAGAGGAAUGACGGCGCAUUGCGAGUGUUCUAUCCGUUCGCGGGUAGGAUAGAUCGAUAAUUCGUUAUUUAUAACGCUGACGAGUUUACGGAAGACGAGUUUCUGCGUUUGUCUCGCUCCCACAGACUUCGCCGCGCGGGCCGAUGUAUUGAUUUCCUGUACGUCUUCCAUUCGAAACGGAAAGACGUGCGAUCGUUCGAACGUCACCGUCGCGACGGACGGCGCAAUUAAAGCGGCUCAGACACGUCGAUGUAAUCGUGAUAACGUCCACCUGCAACUACGUGUCCGCCGAUAACGCGGCACAAUUUAACACUUCAACCAACGGUGACUCACCGACGCGGCAAUGUGCGCCACUAGCUUUAAAAUGAAAUACAGAACGAAAUACGCCUCUGAAGCUUGCGUUCGCGCAGCGAACGCGUUUCCGUUAACCGCACAGAUUGUAUUGCGUAUCGACGUAUCAAUACCGCAAAACAUUUAUGGAUCUUAUCGUUUCAUCUGAUUAAAAGAAUCGCGAUAGCAGUUUGUUCACGUGAUUACGUUGUACGUACAUGUUACGUCGUCGAUUCACGUUUGCGAGUGUCAUUUCAAGUUUGCUCCAAUCAAGAGACGCGAGAAACCAAUAGUUGUCUCGUCGCGUGGGAGUUACUCGUGGAAACAUCGCUUGAAAAUUACGGUAAAACCGUGUCAUUCCCUACAGCCAUCAUCAUUUACUUGGAACGCACGGUGCCUCGUGUGCCGGCUUCGAUCGAGGCACUAUCCAGCCCGGACGGCGAGCGAGUGAGGCGCUGGCGUUCUCGUAACGUGGGAGAACACGGUGCUGACCUAGAGACUUCUCCGGUUUAUGGAGACCCAUGCUAAUGCCGCUGCAUAAAGCAGAACCCGUCGUGCGUCGACCACAAAACCAGCGGGAAAGGGAGGGAAAGAAAGAGAACCAAGCCUGGGAGCGAGUCUGCCCGAGUAAAAUUCCUCGAUGAGCAGGGUGAAGGGGGGUACGGGGGGUACGGGGGUGGAGGAGAAGGGUCGGCAGGAGCGAUUCUGGAAGGGAAGGAAUACGAUUCACGGCUCGCCAGGCAACCAGCCACCGUGGCACUCGGUUCUUCUCUCUCCGUCGUUUACCCUCUUCUCUAGGCCGCUGCUGCUCCCCACCAUGGGCCCUCCGCCCCGCUAGCUUCCCCUCCUCGGCUGCUUUCACUCAUAUACGAGUGCGACGUGGAAAAGGGCGCUCGUCGUGCGUGAGACCUCUACCAAAGCACUCCGACGAGUGUGUCUGUAUGCGUGCUUCUUUUUUUUUCUCUAUGGAGAGAUACCGAUGGGGGAUAGGUGCGUCGAGGGGCACGGAGACGCUAGGAACAAGAACGAGGAAGGAGAGGCUCGGCAAGCGAGAAGCAGAACACGGUUGUGGUUAUCCGGUAUGCUGACGAGUCUCGAGAAUUUUCUUUGGAGCUGACGAAAAUGCGCACAAUCUCGUGAUAUUCUCUUCGAUGAUAAUGAUGACGAAUUGUUGUACAAUUUAUUAAAAUGUAUUUGUAGUUGCGAUCUCGCAACACCAUUGAACAAUAGUACAGCUAUGAACAAAACGUUUGCUUUGCUUUUAGGCAGAAAUUUAUCAUUGCGUGUGAGAAUGUGCCUUAAUAUGCGAAAAAUUGCUGGGAAUUAAGACUCCGCAAAUAGGAAAAAAAA
rnacentral:lncRNA from 1 species